UACGAAGGGGGCAAGCGUUGUUCGGAAUUACUGGGCGUAAAGGGCGCGUAGGCGGCUUAUCAAGUCAGGCGUGAAAUUCUCGGGCUCAACCUGGGGGCUGCGCUUGAUACUGAUGAGCUUGAAUGCGGGAGAGGAUAGUGGAAUUCCCAGUGUAGAGGUGAAAUUCGUAGAUAUCAGGAGGAACACCGGUGGCGAAGGCGACUUCCUGGACACCAACUGACGCUGAGACGCGAAAGCGUGGGGAGCAAACAGG
rnacentral:rRNA from 1 species